AGGGUCCGAGGUGGAUGCCUAGGCACCAAGAGCCGAAGAAAGACGCGGCUACCUGCGAUAAGCGUCGGGGAGUUGGAAGCGAACGAUGAUCCGGCGGUUUCUGAAUGGAGUAAUCCGCUCGAGGUAAUGCUCGAGCACCCCUGGUUGAACACAUAGACCAGGUGGAGGGCACCCGGGGAACUGAAACAUCUUAGUACCCGGAGGAAGCGAUAUUCCCUUAGUAGAGGCGAUCGAAAAGGGAGCAGCCUAAACCGUGUGCGUGUCAAGCCGGCAGGCGUUGCGCGCGCGGUGUCGUGGGAUCGUUUAUCGAGCUCUGCCGAGCUCGAGCGAAGUUACAAAACCGGCGGUUAGCCGAGGCAGGUGGAAACCUGCGCCACAGAAGGUGACAGCCCUGUAGGCGAAAGCUGACCGGUCUUCGUAGCGACACCCGAGUACCCCGGGACACGCGGAAUCCUGGGGGAAUCCGCGCAGACCACUGCGUAAGGCUAAAUACUCUUGGUGACCGAUAGUGAAGAGUACCGUGAGGGAAAGGUGAAAAGCACCCCGGGAGGGGAGUGAAAUAGAAACCUGAAACCUUGGACCUACAAACUGUCAAAGGCUUAGGUGCAUUUAUCCUUCGGGAUUUUUGCACGGGCUGAUGGCGUGCCUUUUGUAGAAUGAGCCGGCGAGUUACUGUUUGUGGCGAGGCUAAGGGGUUUACACCCGGAGCCGUAGCGAAAGCGAGUCCGAAUAGGGCGCGACCUCCGCAAGGAGGCUGUAGUCGUAGGCAGUAGACCCGAAACUUGGUGACCUACCCAUGGUCAGGUUGAAGCGGAGGUAAAACUCCGUGGAGGACCGAACUGAUCUGUGUUGCAAAACGGACGGAUGAACUGUGGGUAGAGGUGAAAUGCCAAUCGAACCAAGAGAUAGCUGGUUCUCCUCGAAAUGCCUUUAGGGGCAGCGUUGUUGUGGGCUGUCGCAGGUAGAGCACUGAAUGGGCUAGGGGCGGUUCCCCCGUUACCAAACCCAACCAAACUCCGAAUGGCGGCAGGUUAAACAGGAGCAGUGAGACCGUGGGGGCUAAGCUUCACGGUCAAAAGGGAAACAACCCAGACCAUCGGCUAAGGUCCCAAAGUGAAGACUAAGUGGCGAAGGAGGUCGCUUCGCACAAACAACCAGGAGGUUGGCUCAGAAGCAGCCACCCUUUAAAGAGUGCGUAACAGCUCACUGGUCGAGUGAAGUGGCGCCGAAAAUGAUCGGGUCUUAAGUCUUUCACCGAAGCCAUGGAAUUGCAGCGCAAGCUGCGAUUGGUAGAGGAGCUUCGUACAAGCGGUGAAGCAUGAACGUAAGUCCGUGUGGAGUUUGUACGAGUGCGAAUGCCGGCACAAGUAGCGUAAAGGUCGGUGAGAAACCGGCCCGCCGUAAAUCUUAGGUUUCCUGGGCUACGUUAAUCGUCCCAGGGUCAGUCGGGCCUAAGCCGAGGCCGCAAGGCGUAGGCGAUGGACAUCUGGCGCACAUUCCAGAACCACCUCGCGUUCGUUUUACCGAUGGGAGGACGAAGGAGGGUAGGCCAACCGGACGAUCGGAUGUGUCCGGCCAAGACCGUAGGGAGCUCUGAUUGGAAAAUCCGUCGGAGCGCUAAUCCUGAGAGUUGAUGGGGAGCUGACCGCAAGGUCGGCGUAGUGGCUGAUCCCAAACUUCCGAGAAAAGUCUCUAGGAAGAAUGCAGGUGCCCGUACCGCAAACCGACGCUGGUAGAUGGGAAGAGGAUUCCAAGGCGAUCGAGAGAAAUCUGUCUAAGGAACUCGGCAAAAUAACCCCGUAACUUCGGGAGAAGGGGUGCCUUUGGCGGUGUAGGAGUUCACCUCCGAAGCCGUUGAGGGUUGCAACAAAGAGGCUCAACCGACUGUUUACUAAAAACACAGGUCUCUGCGAACCCGUAAGGGGACGUAUAGGGGCUGACGCCUGCCCGGUGCCGGAAGGUUAAGGGGAGAGCUGCAAGGCUUGAACUGAAGCCCCGGUAAACGGCGGCCGUAACUAUAACGGUCCUAAGGUAGCGAAAUUCCUUGUCGGGCAAGUUCCGACCCGCACGAAUGGCGUAACGAGUUGAGCGCUGUCUCGGACAGAUACUCGGCGAAACUGCAAUACCUGUGAAGAUACAGGUUACCCGCGGCAGGACGGAAAGACCCCGUGGAGCUUUACUACACCUUGGCAUUGGACUGGGGUUUAGCGUGUAGAGGAUAGCUGGGAGGCUAUGAAGCUCAGGCGUCAGCCUGGGUGGAGCCAACAGUGGAAUACCAGCCUCGCUGAACUUUAGCUCUAACGGUGACCCUGAUCGGGUUUCCGAACAGUGCCUGGCGGGUAGUUUGACUGGGGCGGUCGCCUCCCAAAAAGUAACGGAGGCGCCCAAAGGUUCCCUCAGCCUGGGCGGAAAUCAGGCGCAGAGUGCAAUGGCACAAGGGAGCUUGACUGUGAGACAAACGAGUCGAGCAGGGACGAAAGUCGGGCAUAGUGAUCCGACGGCCCGGUGUGGAAUGGCCGUCGCUCAACGGAUAAAAGUUACCCCGGGGAUAACAGGCUUAUCGGGCCCAAGAGUUCACAUCGACGGCCCGGUUUGGCACCUCGAUGUCGGCUCGUCGCAUCCUGGGGCUGGAGUCGGUCCCAAGGGUUGGGCUGUUCGCCCAUUAAAGCGGUACGCGAGCUGGGUUUAGAACGUCGUGAGACAGUUCGGUCCCUAUCCGCCGUGGGCGCAGGAGACUUGAGGAGGGUUGACCCUAGUACGAGAGGACCGGGUUGAACGGCCCGCUAGUGUACCGGUUGUCACGCCAGUGGCAGCGCCGGGUAGCCAUGGCCGGUUUGGAUAAGCGCUGAAAGCAUCUAAGUGCGAAGCCAACUCCAAGAUAAGGUCUCCCACCGGGUUAACCGGGUAAGGGCCCUGGUAGACAACCAGGUUGAUAGGCCGCAGGUGUAAGAGGAGCAAUCCUUUGAGCUGAGCGGUACUAAUAGCCCGAGGGCUUGU
rnacentral:rRNA from 1 species